UACAGAGGGUGCAAGCGUUAAUCGGAAUUACUGGGCGUAAAGCGUGCGCAGGCGGUUCGCUAAGACAGAUGUGAAAUCCCCGGGCUUAACCUGGGAACUGCAUUUGUGACUGGCGGGCUAGAGUAUGGCAGAGGGGGGUAGAAUUCCACGUGUAGCAGUGAAAUGCGUAGAGAUGUGGAGGAAUACCGAUGGCGAAGGCAGCCCCCUGGGCCAAUACUGACGCUCAUGCACGAAAGCGUGGGGAGCAAACAGG
rnacentral:rRNA from 1 species